rnacentral:piRNA from 1 species
UGUCCUGUGUUCCUAGUCUGAAUCCAUU